rnacentral:rRNA from 1 species
UACGAACUGUGCAAACGUUAUUCGGAAUCACUGGGCGUAAAGGGUGCGUAGGCGGGUCUUUAAGUCAGGGGUGAAAUCCUGGAGCUCAACUCCAGAACUGCCUUUGAUACUGAAGAUCUUGAGUUCGGGAGAGGUGAGUGGAACUGCGAGUGUAGAGGUGAAAUUCGUAGAUAUUCGCAAGAACACCGAUGGCGAAGGCAGGUCUCUGGGCUGACACUGACGCUCAUGCACGAAAGCGUGGGGAGCAAACAGG